GUGAAUCAUCGAAUCUUUGAACGCAAAUUGCACUCUCUGGUAUUCCGGAGAGUAUGCCUGUUUGAGGGUCAGUUUAAAUAAAAAUCGGUGUGGUUGCUGCCUUUCGUGGUGACGCACCGGAUUUGGGUCGUCUUGCCUUCGGUUAGGUGACCUAAAAUGUUGCAUGAUGUUUUUCGAACGUAUUUAAAUGAUUAUACGUACGUUUGCGAUAUGGAUUACUCGGCUUGGCCAUCCG
rnacentral:misc_RNA from 1 species